AACCAGCUCUUCAAGUGGUCGGGAUAAUUAUUGGGCUUAAAGUGUCCGUAGCCGGUUUAGUAAGUUCCUGGUAAAAUCGGGUAGCUUAACUAUCUAUAUGCUAGGAAUACUGCUAUACUAGAGGGCGGGAGAGGUCUGAGGUACUACAGGGGUAGGGGUGAAAUCUUAUAAUCCUUGUAGGACCACCAGUGGCGAAGGCGUCAGACUGGUACGCGCCUGACGGUGAGGGACGAAAGCCAGGGGAGCGAACCGGAUUAGAUACCCGGGUAGUCCUGGCCGUAAACGAUGCAUACUAGGUGAUGGCACGGCCAUGAGCCGUGUCAGUGCCGUAGGGAACCGUUAAGUGUGCCGCCUGGGAAGUACGGUCGCAAGGCUAAAACUUAAGGAAUUGGCGGGGGAGCACCACAAGGGGUGAAGCCUGCGGUUC
rnacentral:rRNA from 1 species